GUAGAUACUGGAGUGAUGGAGGUAGAUACUGGUGUGAUGGAGGUAGAUACUGGAGUGAUGGAGGUAGAUACUGGAGUGAUGGAGGUAGAUACUGGAGUGAUGGAGGUAGAUACUGGAGUGAUGGAGGUAGAUACUGGAGUGAUGGAGGUAGAUACUGUAGUGAUGGAGGUAGAUACUGUAGUGAUGGAGGUAGAUACUGUAGUGAUGGAGGUAGAUACUGUAGUGAUGGAGGUAGAUACUGUAGUGAUGGAGGUAGAUACUGGAGUGAUGGAGGUAGAUACUGGAGUGAUGGAGGUAGAUACUGUAUGUACAGGGAUACUGGAGUGAUGGAGGUAGAUACUGUAGUGAUGGAGGUAGAUAUUGGAGUGAUGGAGGUAGAUACUGGAGUGAUGGAGGUAGAUACUGGAGUGAUGGAGGUAGAUACUGUAGUGAUGGAGGUAGAUACUGGAGUGAUGGAGGUAGAUACUGGAGUGAUGGAGGUAGAUACUGUAGUGAUGGAGGUAGAUACUGUAGUGAUGGAGGUAGAUACUGUAGUGAUGGAGGUAGAUACUGUAGUGAUGGAGGUAGAUACUGUAGUGAUGGAGGUAGAUACUGUAGUGAUGGAGGUAGAUACUGGAGUGAUGGAGGUAGAUACUGGAGUGAUGGGAGGUAGAUACUGGAGUGAUGGAGGUAGAUACUGUAUGUAGAGGGAUACUGGAGUGAUGGAGGUAGAUACUGUAUGUAGAGGGAUACUGGAGUGAUGGAGGUAGAUACUGGAGUGAUGGAGGUAGAUACUGGAGUGAUGGAGGUAGAUACUGUAUGUAGAGGGAUACUGGAGUGAUGGAGGUAGAUACUGUAUGUAGAGGGAUACUGGAGUGAUGGAGGUAGAUACUGGAGUGAUGGAGGUAGAUACUGGAGUGAUGGAGGUAGAUACUGGAGUGAUGGAGGUAGAUACUGGAGUGAUGGAGGUAGAUACUGGAGUGAUGGAGGUAGAUACUGGAGUGAUGGAGGUAGAUACUGGAGUGAUGGAGGUAGAUACUGUAGUGAUGGAGGUAGAUACUGGAGUGAUGGAGGUAGAUACUGGAGUGAUGGAGGUAGAUACUGGAGUGAUGGAGGUAGAUACUGUAGUGAUGGAGGUAGAUACUGGAGUGAUGGAGGUAGAUACUGGAGUGAUGGAGGUAGAUACUGGAGUGAUGGAGGUAGAUACUGGAGUGAUGGAGGUAGAUACUGUAUGUAGAGGGAUACUGGAGUGAUGGAGGUAGAUACUGGAGUGAU